rnacentral:lncRNA from 1 species
GAUGAAGUUGAAUAGGCUCUCGUCAGAAUAUGAGGUUGGAUUUUAAAAGUUUUUUGAUUUUGCUAUAGAAAAAUUCAAAGACCAUGGACUUUCUAAUAUCCUUGUAAGAAGUGUAUGGGUGGGCUUUGGCUACCUUGUCAAAAUGUAAAUAAUCACCUCACUAUUUAUGGCUUUAAAUCUGGCUAUGAAAUUUAUUGGGAUCAAUAUGGUAAGUGCAGGCCCCA